UUUUCUAUCAGCAAUUUAGCAAGGAAAAAAAAAAUUAAUCGGCAAAUCUCAUCUCACUGACGAAAAUUCAGAGUGCAGAGGUACAUAAACGGCAAAGAAGUGAUAAACGUGGAAGAACACAAGUUACAAAUAGACAAAAACUUUUAAGACAACAUAACCACAACAUCAACCUCCAUUACCGGAGCUUCCAAUGCUAAGACCAACCACAUAAAUACCCUCCAAGACCAAGAAUUUCUCUUGCAAAUAAAAAAAAAAAAUAGACCAAACUAGUUUUCUUACACAAUCACCAUGCUUUUGCACACACACUUCUUUCAGACUUUAAGAACUGCAAGAAGGGUUCUUGGAAAUGUAAUGAAAGAUUCUGUUCAAUUGAGCAGCAAGAAUUGUAUGCCAUUGAGAAGAGGCAAAAGGGUUGUUUCUUUUCAAGGCUCUGCUGUAAGAUUUGUACAAACAUCAUACCGUAUUUCACUGCCUGCUGGGAACGCAUUUGGAAACCAAGAAAAAGUCUCUUCAAAAAUUUUGAAAGACAAGAAGACAGUUCCUGAUUCAGAUCCUCCAAGUGAUAGAGAUGUUGAUCUUUUGUACCAGUUUUUUGAUCGAAGCACCAAAUUGGUGGUUUUGACUGGAGCUGGGAUUAGUACAGAAUGUGGAAUUCCUGAUUAUAGAAGUCCAAAUGGAGCCUACAGUUCUGGUUUCAGACCUAUUACCCAUCAGGAGUUUGUCCGUUCAAGUCGAACACGUAGGCGAUAUUGGGCUAGGAGCUAUGCUGGAUGGAGACGGUUUCAUGCUGCAGAACCUAGUGCAGCCCAUUUUGCUUUGGCAUCUUUAGAAAAAGCUGGGCGGAUUGAUUUUAUGAUUACACAAAAUGUUGAUAGACUGCACCAUCGUGCUGGGAGCAACCCACUUGAAAUACAUGGAACUGUAUACUCUGUGACUUGUCUAGAUUGCAACUUUUCCUUUCCGCGGAGUUCAUUUCAAGAUCAACUGAAGGCCCUCAAUCCAAAGUGGGCAGAAGCAAUUGAAAGUUUGGAUAAUGGAAGUCCUGGAUCGGAGAAGAGCUUUGGCAUGAAGCAAAGGCCUGAUGGUGAUAUUGAGAUUGAUGAGAAAUUCUGGGAGGCGGAUUACCACAUACCUGCAUGCCCAAAAUGCAAUGGAGUGCUCAAACCUGAUAUGUUGCAGAACCAUGUGGUCAUAAAAGACUGGUAUAGUGCCAUAAGUACAUGGAAUAUCAGGAUACAGGGAAAUUAUUUAAUACACCUGAGGUUGUACUCCCCUUUCUUAAUGAAGGUGGGGUCCGUGGAUAAUUUUCAUGGUGGGUCCCAUGUUUAUGUGUGUGAGAGAGAAGAGUACAACUCCAAGUGUGUUGAAAUUGUUGUUUUCCAUGACAGGAUUUCAUCAAGUGCUAUAAGAUGUUAAAAGGAAAUUUAAGUCCUGAAAAUAAGGUAGACAUGCAUUGAAAAUACUAAGAGUGGCAUUGUCUAAUGUUCAUAGAAAGUUGUCAUUGAAUGGCAUUGUCUAAUGUUCGUAGAAAGUCAUCAUUGAAUGGACGUGAUGGUCUGUAAACUUGGUAAGUUUUCUGAUAUCAGGUAGUACAUGCAUUAUGCUUGGUUUUAAGACGGGGCAUAUAUUUGUGACCAUGUCAUUGUUGCUUUGCUAUUUCACUGUUAACAGAUGGUAAUACAUGUGAAAGCAGAAUUCAUGUACAUGUAUCGAAUACAUAUCUUAUACACUGUGCACCCAAGGUUGUUUUCUUCGGCGAUAAUGUCCCCAAGGAUAGAGCAGACAAGGCAAUGGACGCUGCAAAAGGUUGUGAUGCUUUCCUUGUACUAGGAUCAUCUCUAAUGACCAUGUCUGCUUUUAGACUUGUCAG